GACAGAGGUGCCGAGCGUUAGGCGGAAUCACUGGGCUUAAAGCGUGUGUAGGCGGAUCGUUAAGUGCCUUGUGAAAUCCCACGGCUCAACCGUGGAACUGCUUGGCAUACUGGCGAUCUUGAGCCACUUAGGGGCUACCGGAACAAAUGGUGGAGCGGUGAAAUGCGUAGAUAUCAUUUGGAACGCCUAUGGUGAAAACAGGUAGCUGGGAGUGUGCUGACGCUGAGACACGAAAGCCAGGGGAGCAAACGGG
rnacentral:rRNA from 1 species